rnacentral:rRNA from 1 species
GUGGGGAAUCUUGCGCAAUGGGCGAAAGCCUGACGCAGCCAUGCCGCGUGAAUGAUGAAGGUCUUAGGAUUGUAAAAUUCUUUCACCGGGGACGAUAAUGACGGUACCCGGAGAAGAAGCUCCGGCUAACUUCGUGCCAGCAGCCGCGGUAAUACGAAGGGGGCUAGCGUUGCUCGGAAUAACUGGGCGUAAAGGGCGCGUAGGCGGACAGCUUAGUCAGAGGUGAAAGCCCAGGGCUCAACCUUGGAAUUGCCUUUGAUACUGGCUGUCUUGAGUUUGGGAGAGGUGAGUGGAACUCCGAGUGUAGAGGUGAAAUUCGUAGAUAUUCGGAAGAACACCAGUGGCGAAGGCGACUCACUGGCCCAAUACUGACGCUGAGGCGCGAAAGCGUGGGGAGCAAACAGGAUUAGAAACCCCUGUAGUCC